rnacentral:rRNA from 1 species
CCUACGGGAGGCAGCAGUGGGGAAUAUUGGGCAAUGGGCGCAAGCCUGACCCAGCAACGCCGCGUGAAGGAAGAAGGCUUUCGGGUUGUAAACUUCUUUUAUUGAGGACGAAACAAAUGACGGUACUCAAUGAAUAAGCCACGGCUAACUACGUGCGAGCAGCCGCGGUAAUACGUGGGUGGCAAGCGUUAUCCGGAUUUACUGGGUGUAAAGGGCGUGUAGGCGGGACUGCAAGUCAGAUGUGAAACCCAUGGGCUCAAACCAUGGAAUGCAUUUGAAACUGUAGGUCUAGAGUGAUGUAGAGGAAGGCGGAAUUCCGUGUGUAGCGGUGAAAUGCGUAGAUAUAUGGAGGAACACCAGUGGCGAAGGCGGCGUGCUGGACAUUAACUGACGCUGAGGCGCGAAAGCGUGGGGAGCAAAUAGGAUUAGAUACCCCGGUAGUC